GCAGACGCCAGAAUCUUCUGGAGGAAAGCGAAUGGGAGUUGAUAAAAGCAAGGAUGGCGUACCCGGCCAACACGAGCGCGGCGCGUCAUGAUGCGCGGCUCCACGAGUGCUGCGGUUGGCACGCUCAACGGCGCCCAGCGAUGUUGACCUCGAUCGCCUGCCACUCCCCGGUCACCUCUCCGCCGAAGUCUCCAGUUGAAGAAGCACCGGAGGAAUUUGACCACAUAAUCUUCUCUGUCAAUCAUAACCAUUCCAUUUGUCUAGCAGAAGGCUUGGCCCUCAACUUACUGGGGGUGGCGUAAAGGAAACCUUUUGUAUUUGAAUAUUAGUGAUACAUGUAUGGAUACGGAUCCCACCACAUCCCAUGAACUAAAGUAUCAUUGAUUGGAAGGAGCUGAACAAGAUGGAAGCCUGAAUCGACUGCCCGAUCAACAAGACGUUUAAGAUUUAGAAAUUCUCCAACGCCAAGGUGAUUGUCUGAUCUGAUUGAAAACAUGGGUACAACAACACCUGCACCCCUCCAUGAUGCAUCUUGGUAAAUACAGAUGAAGUAUUAUUUGGUUGUGUAUGAUGCAUUGAUGCAUAUUGAUACUCUGGUUUGUUAGCCGGAGUAUGGAGUUCCAUGGUUCUGUUGUUUUGAGCACAUGUUCAUGCGUUCUGCGUAGAGUUAUAAUGCAUCAUAGCAUAUGUUGUUAUAUUUGCAUACUUAACUACUCUGCUAUUGUAAACAAUUGCCUCUUCGAAUAAUUUUAUCCUUAAUAUGUAUAUAUAUUUGCAUAUGUUGCUGCUCCUAUAUGUUUAAAACAACACCCUUUAUUGUUAUAUUUGCAUACUUAACUACUCUACUAUU